GCCAGAAAUGGUUGUAGGUUGGUAUCACUCACAUCCUGGCUUCGGAUGCUGGCUAUCAGGCGUCGAUAUCAAUACUCAGCAGAGUUUUGAAGCUUUGAACCCCAGAGUCGUUGCUGUUGUGAUAGACCCCAUCCAGAAGAGGACGAUCGAUUUUCGAUUUUGGCUGUUGAAUCCGUAUGGGCUAUGGUCGCCGAGGCACUCGCAGUCGGACAUGUCUUCAUCGGAGAUGGAGUUUGGUACAGCGCGCCAGUACGACACCACCGACCUCUUCUUCCAGGAGGACUGGCUCUACGACGAUCACCUCUUCCCUAGCAAGUUGGACGAUGAGGACGACGAACGCAAGGAGGACAAGUUUGUACUGGAUGCUCACGGUGGUGCCUCAGCGCAGACAGAAAUAGGCAAGCUCGGUGCAGGCCAUAACCACCGUCAUGAACACAUCAGUGGUGACCGAUGUGAGGGUUGCGCUGAGGUGUACACAUGCUCAUCGCCACUCUGCGGUUGCUGUGGAGAGGGACUCAAGAAUGACGGCCUUGAUGUGGCCAGGAGCUCAAGCUCUACUGUGUAUGGGAGAUACCAGAUCAUGGAUGAUCGGACAGAGAUAAUGGAUGAUUGUGCGCAGGAUGGGUUUCAAUUGAAGCAGAGUGGAGAUAUUAUGUUUGAAUGUGGUAUGCAGAGGGAUCCUGGACGAGGAGAUGAUGAUUCAGACCUGAGUGUUGUGGAGAAGGAGCUUCAAAUGCUCAGUUCAUUUGAUACUGAUGCUGUUACGAAUCACGGUGUACAUGAUUUCACGGACAACGGUGAGCUCAAUGGCAUCUGUGACAAAAAUCUGAAAAGCAACAUUGAUAAAGAAUAUCUGAAAGGUCAUAGGAUACAGCCAUUCCCUAAAAUUGGUGAUCCUGAUGAAGCAUAUGAGUUUUGAAAUGUAGGAUCAUUAAAUGCAGAUGUUCAACAUUCU